UUAACUUGUUUUUUUUGUAAAUCAGAACGUACAGUCCGCUGUGCAUUUAGAGUUUGGCGCUGCCGGCGGGGACGGGGAGCGGUGCGGCCCGCGGUGGGGCGCGCCACGCCACCCGCCUCCCGCCGAGACAACGCGGCAAGAGGUAAGGUUCACAGUGGGUUUUGAAGGUAACUUCGGUAAUGAUCCCUCCGCUGGUUCACCAACGGAGA
rnacentral:misc_RNA from 1 species